GCCCAGCACCGAAUCCUGUAUCGUCCUGAUACCAGGAAAUGUGGUGUUUAGGCCGUGCUUUGUGCCGGUAUGAUUCUCCUCAAGUCCACUUGAUUGUGGCUUCAGGCCCAGAGAGGGUGUAAGGCCCGUGGAGGCGAGUCGUCCGGUGCCCGGCACGUCCUUAGAGUCGGGUUGUUUGGGAAUGCAGCCCAAAGCGGGUGGUAAACUCCAUCCAAGGCUAAAUACUAGCACGAGUCCGAUAGCGAAGAAGUACCGCGAGGGAAAGUUGAAAAGAACUUUGAAGAGAGAGUUCAAGAGUACGUGAAACCGCUGAGAGGCAAACUGGUGGAGCUGAAAUGGUCUUGAGGAAUUCAGCCCUUCCUGCUAGAGUUGACGCUGGUUGUGAGAUCUCACGACUCCGCCAGUGUUAUCUUCGUGAAGGAUAGGUGCACUUUCCUCUUGAUCGGACCACGACCAGCGACUUGACUUGUCUGACAUGGGUUGGAAGGUAGCGUUGGCUUCGGCGAACGUGUUAUAGCCGCCUAUUCGGAGUGAGCAGGGCGUUGGAUGCAAAUGCUAGGCGCUUGCCCUUUUGGGCUCGUACGUUGUCACUUUCAGGCGUGUCGCCGGCUUCACUGCCUUUGGCAGGGGUGUUGGAGACGUGUCGGUUAGGGGCGGCCUCUGCGAUUGGCGUCGAAAGUCUGUGGUUAUGAAGUAGGCAGUCCACCUGACCCGUCUUGAAACACGGACCAAGGAGUCUAACAUGUGCGCGAGUCAUUGGGCUCUACGAAACCUAAAGGCGCAGUGAAAGUAAAGAUCCAUUCUGAUGGAUUGAGGUGGGAUCCUGAGUCACGUGCUCGGGCGCACUACCGGCCCGUUCGACAUGUCUUCAUGCGGGCGGAGCAAGAGCGUACACGUUGGGACCCGAAAGAUGGUGAACUAUGCUUGCGCAGGUCGAAGCCAGAGG
rnacentral:rRNA from 1 species